GACGAACGCUGGCGGCGUGCCUAAUACAUGCAAGUAGAACGCUGAAGGAGGAGCUUGCUCUUCUGGAUGAGUUGCGAACGGGUGAGUAACGCGUAGGUAACCUGCCUGGUAGCGGGGGAUAACUAUUGGAAACGAUAGCUAAUACCGCAUAAGAGUAGAUGUCGCAUGACAUUUGCUUAAAAGGUGCAAUUGCAUCACUACCAGAUGGACCUGCGUUGUAUUAGCUAGUUGGUGAGGUAACGGCUCACCAAGGCAACGAUACAUAGCCGACCUGAGAGGGUGAUCGGCCACACUGGGACUGAGACACGGCUCAGACUCCUACGGGAGGCAGCAGUAGGGAAUCUUCGGCAAUGGACGGAAGUCUGACCGAGCAACGCCGCGUGAGUGAAGAAGGUUUUCGGAUCGUAAAGCUCUGUUGUAAGAGAAGAACGAGUGUGAGAGUGGAAAGUUCACACUGUGACGGUAUCUUACCAGAAAGGGACGGCUAACUACGUGCCAGCAGCCGCGGUAAUACGUAGGUCCCGAGCGUUGUCCGGAUUUAUUGGGCGUAAAGCGAGCGCAGGCGGUUAGAUAAGUCUGAAGUUAAAGGCUGUGGCUUAACCAUAGUACGCUUUUGGAAACUAUUUAACUUGAGUGCAAGGGGGGGGAGAGUGGAAUUUCCUGUGUAGCGGUGGAAUGCGUACAAAAAGGGAGGAACACCCUUUGGGGAAAUUUUCU
rnacentral:rRNA from 1 species